rnacentral:rRNA from 1 species
UACGUAGGGUGCGAGCGUUGUCCGGAAUUAUUGGGCGUAAAGAGCUUGUAGGCGGUUUGUCGCGUCUGCUGUGAAAAUCCGGGGCUCAACCCCGGACUUGCAGUGGGUAUGUGCAGACUAGAGUGUGGUAGGGGAGACUGGAAUUCCUGGUGUAGCGGUGAAAUGCGCAGAUAUCAGGAGGAACACCGAUGGCGAAGGCAGGUCUCUGGGCCACUACUGACGCUGAGAAGCGAAAGCAUGGGGAGCGAACAGG